AUUGAACGCUGGCGGAAUGCUUUACACAUGCAAGUCGAACGGCAGCACGGACUUCGAUCUGGUGGCGAGUGGCGAACGGGUGAGUAAUGUAUCGGAACGUGCCCAGUCGUGGGGGAUAACGUAGUGAAAAUUACGCUAAUACCGCAUACGAUCUAUGGAUGAAAGCGGGGGAUCGCAAGACCUCGCGCGAUUGGAGCGGCCGAUAUCAGAUUAGGUAGUUGGUGGGGUAAAGGCCCACCAAGCCAACGAUCUGUAGCUGGUCUGAGAGGACGACCAGCCACACUGGAAAGGAGACACGGUCCAGACUCCUACGGGAGGCAGCAGUGGGGAAUUUUGGACAAUGGGCGAAAGCCUGAUCCAGCCAUUCCGCGUGCAGGAUGAAGGCCCUCGGGUUGUAAACUGCUUUUGUACAGAACGAAAAGGUUUCUACUAAUACUAGGAGCUCAUGACGGUACUGUAAGAAUAAGCACCGGCUAACUACGUGCCAGCCGCCGCGGUAA
rnacentral:rRNA from 1 species